rnacentral:misc_RNA from 1 species
AGAGGGUCUUUCUUGACAUUUGCUUACUACCUGGCUUUGAUCUAAAGUUACCAAACCUAAAGCCAAAGCCAGCUUCGGCUAAACCGAACCUUAGUUUCCUCUCUAUUUUGUUUUCGCCUCGAUUGUAUAUAAACAACAAUAUUUUUUAUCAUUACCAAAGCAAACAACAGCCGAGAAGAAAACCAGACUCAGAAGCGCGUUUUGUUUUCUUGUUUCUUUUCUUUCAAAAGCUAUUUACCCACAACCCAAUAGCGUCUUCUAUUAUUUUCUUGUUUCGCAUUUCCAGGGCUUCCCAAUCAAAUUCCAAUGAGUGAUCACCUGGUUUUCUGUGCUGAUAGACUCAUAACGCCCAAAAGUUUGCAGGAAAUGGAAGAAGAUAAGGAGCCAGUAUCUUCUGGGGAGUGUUCAUCAUCUCAUACUGCUGAUGAACACACU